rnacentral:rRNA from 1 species
CCCUUAGAUGUCCUGGGCCGCACGCGCGUUACACUGAUGCAUUCAACGAGCUUAUAACCUUGGCCGAGAGGCCUGGGCAAUCUUGUUAACGUGCAUCGUGAUAGGGAUAGAUUAUUGAAAUUAUUAAUCUUGAACGAGGAAUUCCUAGUAAACGCAGAUCAUCAAUCUGCAUUGAUUACGUCCCUGCCCUUUGUACACACCGCCCGUCGCACCUACCGAUUGGAUGGUCCGGUGAAGCCUCGGGAUUGUGGCGAGUUUCCUUUAUUGGGAGUUUGUCGCGAGAACUUGUCUAAACCUUAUCAUUUAGAGGAAGGUGAAGUCGUAACA